rnacentral:rRNA from 1 species
UGGGGGAUAUUGCACAAUGGGCGAAAGCCUGAUGCAGCGACGCCGCGUGGGGGAUGAAGGCCUUCGGGUUGUAAACUUCUUUUGCUCUGAACAAGGCGCACCAUGGGGUGUGUUGAGUGUAGGGGUUGAUUAGCGCCGGCUAACUACGUGCCAGCAGCCGCGGUAAUACGUAGGGCGCGAGCGUUGUCCGGAAUUAUUGGGCGUAAAGGGCUUCUAGGUGGCUGGUUGCGUCUGUCGUGAAAGCUCAUGGCUUAACUGUGGGUUUGCGGUGGGUACGGGCUGGCUUGAGUGCAGUAGGGGAGGCUGGAAUUCCUGGUGUAGCGGUGGAAUGCGCAGAUAUCAGGAGGAAUACCGGUGGCGAAGGCGGGUCUCUGGGCUGUUACUGACACUGAGGAGCGAAAGCAUGGGGAGCGAACAGG